CAGCCGCCGCGGUAAUCCGAAGGGUGCAAGCGUUACUCGGAAUUACUGGGCGUAAAGCGUGCGUAGGUGGUGGUUUAAGUCCGUUGUGAAAGCCCUGGGCUCAACCUGGGAAUUGCAGUGGAUACUGGGUCACUAGAGUGUGGUAGAGGAUAGUGGAAUUUCCGGUGUAGCAGUGAAAUGCGUAGAGAUCGGAAGGAACAUCUGUGGCGAAGGCGACUAUCUGGGCCAACACUGACACUGAGGCACGAAAGCGUGGGGAGCAAACAGGAUUAGAUACCCGCGUAGUCCCUGUCUCUUAUAC
rnacentral:rRNA from 1 species